UACGAAGGGUGCAAGCGUUACUCGGAAUUACUGGGCGUAAAGCGUGCGUAGGUGGUUUGUUAAGUCUGUUGUGAAAGCCCCGGGCUCAACCUGGGAAUGGCAAUGGAUACUGGCAAGCUAGAGUGCGGUAGAGGGUAGUGGAAUUCCCGGUGUAGCGGUGAAAUGCGUAGAGAUCGGGAGGAACACCAGAGGCGAAAGCGGCGACCUGGACAAGUACUGACACUCAACUACGAAAGCGUGGGGAGCAAACAGG
rnacentral:rRNA from 1 species